GACGAACGCUGGCGGCGUGCUUAACACAUGCAAGUCGAACGCUGAAGCCCUUUCGGGGGUGGAUGAGUGGCGAACGGGUGAGUAACACGUGGGUAAUCUGCCCUGCACUCUGGGAUAAGCCUUGGAAACGGGGUCUAAUACCGGAUAGGACGCAUCGCCGCAUGGUGUGUGUGUGGAAAGUUCCGGCGCGGGAGGUUGAGCCCGCGGCCUAUCAGCUUGUUGGUGGGGUGAUGGCCUACCAAGGCGACGACGGGUAGCCGGCCUGUGAGGGUGACCGGCCACAAUGGGACUGAGACACGGCCCAGACGCCUACGGGCUGCAGCAGUGGGGAAGCUUGCGCAGCGGGCGAAAGCCUGACGCAGCAUCGCCGCGUGGGGGAUGACGGCCUUCGGGUUGUAAACCUCUUUCGACCGUGACGAAUGGUGACUGACGGUACCGGUAGAAGAAGCACCGGCUAACUACGUGCCAGCAGCCGCAGUAA
rnacentral:rRNA from 1 species